CAGCAGCCGCGGUAAUACGUAGGGUGCGAGCGCUAAUCGGAAUUACUGGGCGUAAAGCGUGCGCAGGCGGUUGUGUAAGACAGGUGUGAAAUCCCCGGGCUUAACCUGGGAACUGCGCUUGUGACUGCACAGCUAGAGUAUGGCAGAGGGGGGUGGAAUUCCACGUGUAGCAGUGAAAUGCGUAGAGAUGUGGAGGAACACCGAUGGCGAAGGCAGCCCCCUGGGCCAAUACUGACGCUCAUGCACGAAAGCGUGGGGAGCAAACAGGAUUAGAUACCCCCGUAGUCCCUGUCUCUUAUCC
rnacentral:rRNA from 1 species